GCCUUCUGGGUCCGAGGCUCCCACCUGCUCUAAGCGCUUGGUACCAGGGAGGGAAUGGGAGGACGCUUGCGGGAUAGGGAGGCGGGGGCUGGAAAUUGGCAGGGUGAGAGCUGGGGAAACUAGUCUGGGACGCAGCCCUCCUUGUCCCCCUUCUUCAUUCACCCCCUUGUUGAGGCCCUUGGCUUUUGCAUAAUGCACCCUUUAAAAAAAUGUAUUUAAAGAGGCUGGUUCCUAUCCAUCCGACUGGAGGCAUCUCAGUGCAAGAGCAAAGCUAAGUCCUGCACACGCUCCUCCCCUCCUCCUCCUCCUUCUCCCCCCAGGUUUUCCCGAAUGUAUCUACUCCGGUUACAACUAGACGCGGCCCCUCCCCCACCUGCCUCCCCCCUUCCUUCCCUCGAUCGUGGAGGGAGCGUUCUCUGUGCCUUCCCAAGUCCCCGUGGGGGACCUUCUAUGUUGGAGUGGGGGGAGGGGGGGAGGGUCAUAUAACGAAGGCCAGAAAGAACAAAUUAGAUAAUCAAAAGAAUUAUAGUAAUUGCUUUCACUUUCCCCCGCCCGCUCAGCGGAUUCCCUCCCCCGCCCCUCCCCUGGUUUUUCUGUCUGUCGGGAAUACUCGGUCUUUCCGACCCCCUCCCCUCCCCCAGGUUCCUCCUCUCCUCUCCCCUUGCUCGCGCGUUCCCUCUCUUCCUCCGUUUUCUGGUGUGCUGGAACGUUCAGCGGAAUAUGAUGAAUGAUCACCUGUCACAGCUUGUUUAUUAUAAUGCAGGCAAUCAAUUACACAUCCCCAAUGCUGGCCGGCCCGCAGGAAAUUUAUAUGCUCAGCACAAACCAAUGUGAAAAUGGAAUCUCAUUUGCCAAAUGUCUUUCUCCCCGUACAGCACGAUGAUUACAGUCUGUGUUUGUUUCAACAGUCGUGUACAACUGACAGUGCCAUCAUUUACUGCCUGGCUCAGGUCACGUUACUCUAAGGCUUUAUUUAUGGUGUUACGAAGGGCAGCACAGGAAAAGGACAAGGGUGUCUGUCAGGGAUGGCACUGUGUUAAAAAGUGGGCGUGCAAGGGCCGCAUUCCCGGGCAGCCGCUGCAACCUCAGCCCCUGGGCCCUUACCUCCGCAGCCUCUCCCAGCAUCCAGCUACCCAGACUCCAAGGCCCCAGGCGAGAGCCAGCUCUCGGUACCUGGAGCUCCACAGGUCCCAGAAUCGGGGUGGAUCAGAGUUCAAAUUCUGGUUCUGCUACUGUCUAAUUGCGUGCUGCAGGGACUCAAUCUCUUCAUCUGGGAAAUGGGAGUAAUAACCCUUGGCAGGAAUGUUGCGAUCCUCUGGGAUGUCAGAGGUGUUGAUGAAUGUUAGUUCCCGGGACUUCGGAAAGAGGUCCCGUUGGAAGAGAUGUGAAUUGGAAUUCACACCCUAUAUUAAAAUCUCCUCCAAUCUUCACCUCUGAGACAUGGCUGUCUCAAGACUGUUUUGUUUCCCUUCCUGGUGGAAUUUUGCACUUUUAUGUCCUGUGUAGCAGCAGGUAGUGUGGCUUUGAGAAAAUAAAAUGGCCACCUUGCUCCGCUGUUCUUUCUUUGUAAAAAAAAAAAAAAAAAAAAAAAAACGGCAUAGCAAUCUUGGCCUUUCUAGCUGUGUGACCCCAGGCCGGUCAAUCCCUCCUCCUCUCCAAGCCUCGGAUUCCUCCCCUGAGAAGUAAAGAAAAUAACUCCUAAACUGCCUCCCGAGGCUUGCUGGCAGGAUCCAAGGUGUCCAGAGAUGUUAAUAUUUCUUUAUUAUUUGACACGUGUAUUUGUUUAAUGGCCCUCUGCUCCACCAGUAUGGAAGCUCCAAAAGGAAAGAUACCAGAUUGAUCUUGAUCACCUCUGCCUCCCCAGCACCUAGUCUUCCUUGGCACAUCGUGAGUGCUCGGGUCAGGCUGUGCCACAUCCACCCAGCCUUGCCUGGGGUCAUUUAUCCUACAUGUACUCAGAUCACGUGAACUGGUGAUGGGCCACCCAUGUGCCUGCCUGGAGACUCCUAUUCACCCUUCAGAUCAAUAUCCCCCAAAUAAACUCCCAGUCACUCUGGCAUCCCAU
rnacentral:lncRNA from 1 species